rnacentral:rRNA from 1 species
UACAGAGGUCUCAAGCGUUGUCCGGAUUCAUUGGGCGUAAAGAGCUCGUAGGCGGCUGCUCAAGUCGAAUGUGAAAACUCGAGGCUCAACCUCGAGCCUGCAUUCGAUACUGGGCGGCUAGAGUCUGGUAGGGGGAUCUGGAAUUCCUGGUGUAGCGGUGGAAUGCGCAGAUAUCAGGAAGAACACCAAUGGCGAAAGCAGCCCUCUGGGACGGUACUGACGCUGAGACGCGAAAGCGUGGGGAGCGAACAGG